AUUGAACGCUAGCGGGAUGCCUUACACAUGCAAGUCGAACGGCGUGGCGAACGGGUGCGUAAUGUAUCGGAACGUGCCCAGUAGCGGGGGAUAACUACGCGAAAGCGUAGCUAAUACCGCAUACUAUUGGAGCGGCCGAUAUUGGAUUCGCUAGUUGGUGGGGUAACGGCUCACCAAGGCGACGAUCCGUAGCUGGUUUGAGAGGAAGACCAGCCACACUGGAACUGAGACACGGCCCAGACUCCUACGGGAGGCAGCAGUGGGGAAUUUUGGACAAUGGGGGAAAGCCUGAUGCAGCCAUGCCGCGUGUGCGAUGAAGGCCUUCGGGUUGUAAAGCACUUUUGGCAGGAAAGCGGUACCUGCAGAAGAAGCACCGGCUAACUACGUGCCAGCAGCCGCGGUAAUAC
rnacentral:rRNA from 1 species